rnacentral:rRNA from 1 species
GUAAGGAAUAUUGGGCAAUGGGCGCAAGCCUGACCCAGCCAUGCCGCGUGAAGGAUGACGGCCCUAUGGGUUGUAAACUUCUUUUGUACGGGAAAAAACCACCGGUCGUGACCGGUGCUGAUGGUACCGUAAGAAUAAGCAUCGGCUAACUCCGUGCCAGCAGCCGCGGUAAUACGGAGGAUGCAAGCGUUAUCCGGAUUCAUUGGGUUUAAAGGGUGCGCAGGCGGAAUAAUAAGUCAGUGGUGAAAUCCUACGGCUCAACUGUAGAACUGCCAUUGAUACUGUUAUUCGUGAGUACACUUGAAGUGGGCGGAAUGUGUCAUGUAGCGGUGAAAUGCUUAGAUAUGACACAGAACACCGAUUGCGAAGGCAGCUCACUAAGCAAAUAUUGACGCUGAGGCACGAAAGCGUGGGGAUCAAACAGGAUUAGAUACCCCUGUAGUCC